rnacentral:rRNA from 1 species
UACGGGGGGGGCAAGCGUUGUUCGGAAUUACUGGGCGUAAAGGGCUCGUAGGUGGCCAACUAAGUCGGACGUGAAAUCCCUCGGCUUAACCGGGGAACUGCAUCCGAUACUGGAUGGCUUGAGUUCGGGAGAGGGGUGCGGAAUUCCAGGUGUAGCGGUGAAAUGCGUAGAUAUCUGGAGGAACACCGGUGGCGAAGGCGGCAUCCUGGACCGACACUGACGCUGAGGAGCGAAAGCCAGGGGAGCAAACGGG